GGGGUUUCAGUUUCUGGCGCGAACUUCCGCCGUUCCGAAGCUGCACCGCGAAUUGGCGCGAUGUCUGGGGACAGCAGCGGCCGCGGGCCCGAGGGCCGGGGCCGGGGCCGGGGCCGCGAGCCGCACCGGGAUCGCACCCGCUCCCGGUCGCGGUCCCCGCUGUCGCCCGGGGCCCGCCGCGGCGCCGCGCCGGAGCGCAGGGAGGCCCCAGAACGCCCGAGCCUGGAGGACACAGAGCCGUCGGAUUCCGAUGACGAGAUGAUAGACCCGGCCAGCUUGGAGGAGGAGGCCGACCAAGGCCUGUGCCGCCAGAUCCGCCAUCAGUACCGGGCGCUCAUCAACUCCGUUCAACAAAACCGGGAGGACAUACUAAAUGCCGGUGACAAAUUAACAGAGGUCCUUGAAGAGGCCAACACCCUGUUUAAUGAAGUGUCCCGAGCAAGAGAAGCGGUCCUGGAUGCCCACUUUCUUGUUUUGGCUUCAGAUUUGGGCAAAGAGAAAGCAAAGCAGCUGCGCUCAGACCUGAGCUCAUUUGACAUGUUAAGAUAUGUUGAAACUCUACUGACACAUAUGGGUGUAAAUCCGCUAGAAGCUGAAGAACUCAUCCGUGAUGAAGAUAGUUCUGAUUUUGAAUUCAUAGUCUAUGACUCCUGGAAAAUAUCAGGCAAAACAGCAGAAAACACCUUUAAUAAAACUCAUACAUUCCACUUUCUGUUGGGUUCAAUAUAUGGAGAGUUUCCUGCGCCAAAGCCACGAACUGAUCGUCCAAGAAAAGUUCCUACAGUACGAGAGGAGAGGGCAAUGCCCGCCCAGUUAAGCAGAAUGGAAGAAUCUCACCAAGAAGCAACAGAGAAAGAAGUAGAAAGAAUCUUGGGAUUAUUGCAGACAUAUUUUCGAGAAGAUCGACAGCCUUUUAGAGGUGGCUUCCAGCUGAUACCCCAAUGUCCUUCUUUGACUUUGUGGUUGAUCCACAUUCUUUCCCCCGUACAGUGGAAAACAUCUUUCAUGUUUCCUUCAUUAUACGGGAUGGUUUUGCAAGAAUAAGACUUGACCAAGACCGACUGCCAAUAAUAGAGCCUGUUAAUAUUAACGAAGAAAAUGAGGGAUUUGAACAAAACACACAAGUUAGGAAUCAAGGAAUUAUAGCUUUGAGUUAUCGUGACUGGGAGGAGAUUGUGAAGACCUUUGAGAUUUCAGAGCCUGUGAUUACUCCAAGUCAGAGGCAGCAGAGGCUAAGUGCUUGAUGCUCGCUGAAGGACUCAGAUGGAUAAUGAAGUCCAGAAAGGAAAGUGGCACAUGUUGUAUAUAUUGUAUGAUUCAACAUUUUUAAAGGCAGAUUGUUUUUAGUAAAAUGUAGCUUUUGGUAGUUAAUACAUUUGUGAUGAUUGUCUUUGAUUAAAGGAAACUCACUGCCAUAUUCACAAAUAA